GACGAACGCUGGCGGCACGCUUAACACAUGCAAGUCGAACGGUGAAGUAACUUCGGUUAUGGAACAGUGGCGGACGGGUGAGUAACACGUGAGCAAUCUGCCUUUAAGUGGGGAAUAACAUUUGGAAACGGAUGGUAAUACCGCAUAAAAUACUUUUACCGCAUGAUAAGAGUAUCAAAGAUUUAUCGCUUAAAGAUGAGCUCGCGUCUGAUUAGAUAGUUGGUGAGGUAACGGCUCACCAAGUCAACGAUCAGUAGCCGGACUGAGAGGUUGAACGGCCACAUUGGGACUGAGACACGGCCCAGACUCC
rnacentral:rRNA from 1 species